rnacentral:rRNA from 1 species
AUUGAACGCUGGCGGCAUGCCUUACACAUGCAAGUCGAACGGCAGCACGGGAGCAAUCCUGGUGGCGAGUGGCGAACGGGUGAGUAAUAUAUCGGAACGUGCCCAGUCGUGGGGAUAGCGUAGCGAAAGCUACGCUAAUACCGCAUACGAUCUACGGAUGAAAGCGGGGGAUCGCAAGACCUCGCGCGAUUGGAGCGGCCGAUAUCAGAUUAGGUAGUUGGUGAGGUAAAGGGCUCACCAAGCCGACGAUCUGUAGCUGGUCUGAGAGGACGACCAGCCACACUGGGACUGAGACACGGCCCAGACUCCUACGGGAGGCAGCAGUGGGGGAAUUUUUGGACAAUGGGCGCAAGCCUGAUCCAGCAAUGCCGCGUGCAGGAUGAAGGCCUCGGUUGUAACU